AGAGGGCGUGUGACAACAGAGAGGGUCCCCUUACACCGCGUCGGGCAUGGACCGCAGUUCCCAGCAGCGGCACUCAUGGCGCCACUAGGUCCAUCCCCACUCGCUCCUCUUCGUCUUCCCACUGCUUUUGAAUCCGAGUGGACACAGGACCAGCAGCCCAGUGUUGAGCAACCUCAACAAGAGGAACCGCCAGCUGAGAUUCAGAAUAUCACACCUGAAAAGGAGGAAGUAAAUGGAGAGGAUCCAGUGAAUCACAAUGAAGAGAAGGAGAAGGAUGCCUCUGGAGAUUCUGAUCUGGAAACUGAUCUCCAGGAAUUGGCUGAGGCAAAGACUGGGGGUAAAGGUGGAGAUGGUCCUGAUGUCAGGGAGGAGUUUGCAUCAAAUACAGAGCCUGUUGAAAUGCCAGAAGCAGGUACGUCAUCCAUUCAGAAAGUAAUUUAUGUGGUUUCUGUUUUUUCAGAAUAUUAUAUCUUUACUAAUAUAGAGGGAACACUACUAUUAUUUUAAUAACAGAGUUCACAUAUUCUUUGAAAGAUAGUUCAGACCCCAGAUGCCUGAGUGCCUGAUUUACAGACUUUCAAAUAAAGAAACAGACAUGAUCA
rnacentral:lncRNA from 1 species